rnacentral:lncRNA from 1 species
UGGGACGCCAUCGUUGAUUUUCAAUCGAUUUUAGAAAUUGCUAAUUAGGGGCGUAAUCAGGGGGAUGGGAACCCUAUGGAGUUGCAAAUGAUCAUAAAAUAUGUCCGGCAGGAUCCACGAACGUGCUGAAAGUGCUAACAUGUUGGAAAUUGUGUUUUUGAAGGCGUAAGCCUCUAUUUUUCGAAAGUGAUCCGGAACUGGACAAAGUGAUCCGCAACUGGCUGAAUGCAAGAAUGUAACGACGACGGUGAUGAUGGUGGUAAUCACGAUGGUGGUGAUCAGUGAAUGAUCAUAACGACGACGGCGAUGAUGGUGAUGCCAAGGGCAGUAUGCUUGAACCUUAAUUGAACAGAAACAUGAAAAUAAUAAUACAUCAAUAAAUGAACCAUUGUGAUGUUGUCGACAUGUCACAGCAAAUAUCAUGUUAUGGUCAAAUUACUGGACAUAACUGGUGAUCCCGUUUAUUUGCACCUUGGUGUCAGGAUGUCCAGUUAGGAGCCCGAAAAGAAAUCGCUUUGGUGUAUUUGCUUGUGAGCGACCAGUAUCCAGCAAACCCGGUGUGUCUAUAAUGUUUAUACGAUAGCCAAAUCGAGUUGCACUGCCUUGCUGGCAUGCUGCUGUGACAGAUGUUGCACUACACUCUGAAUGGAAAUGUUUAGUUCCAAGAAUAGAGUUUCCUGACGAACUUUUUCCUGAACCAGUGAUGCCGAUCAUAACAAUUCGUAUUUCUUUUUCAAGGAACGUAUAAUCUGAAAAAUGAAGCUGUCUAAUUAUAAUCCUAUACAGACUGUAGGCUGUAAUAAAUAUGCAACGGGUCCACUAGUGUAUUAACGUAAAGAAAGAACAUAAAUCCAGGAAUUUGAGAUUGAAACCCCGGAAUGGACAUAGCUUUGUAUCGACCAUAACUGGUUAUAUCCGCUCUGAGGAAAUACGAUGAACAUACAGUAAUUGGAAUAGCUAAAGCUCAAAACACUAAAGUUCACUUGCAAUGCUUCCUAUCAAGUGAUAGAAGAGAAGGCAUACUAUGAGUGAUGCAAAGCUAUAUAAUUUGAAUAAAAAAUUAAAUUUAUUUCAUUU